rnacentral:rRNA from 1 species
GACGAACGCUUGCGGCGUGCGUAACACAUGCAAGUCGAACGGAAAGGCCCUGCUUUUGUGGUGUGCUCGAGUGGCGAACGGGUGAGUAACAAGUGAGUAACCUGCCCUUGACUUUGGGAUAACUUCAGGAAACUGGGGCUAAUACCUGAUAUGAGCUCCUGCUGCAUGGUGUGGGUUGAAAAUUUUGUGCGGUUGGGGAUGGACUCGCGGCUUAUGAGCUUGUUGCUGGGGUAGUGGCUUACCAAGGCUUUGACGGGUAGCCGGCCUGAGAGGCUGACCGGCAGCAUUGGGCAUGAGAUACGGCCCAGACUCAUACGGGAGGCAGCAGUGGGGAAUAUUGCAAAAUGGGAGGAAGCCUGAUGAAGAAACGCCGCGUGCGGGAGGACGGCCUUCGGGUUGUAAACCGCUUUCGCAUGUGACGAAGCGUGAGUGAAGGUAAUGGGUAAAGAAGCACCGGCUAACUACGU